UUUGAGCGAUCCCAGCCACAGGGGCUGGCCGGCGUCGCGGUCCCGGCCGUAGGUGGCCAGCAACGCCUCGGCCUC
rnacentral:antisense_RNA from 20 species